rnacentral:rRNA from 1 species
CCUACGGGAGGCAGCAGUGAGGAAUAUUGGUCAAUGGACGAGAGUCUGAACCAGUCAAGUAGCGUGAAGGAUGACUGCCCUAUGGGUUGUAAACUUCUUUUAUAUGGGAAUAAAACGUUCCACGUGUGGGAUUUUGUAUGUACCAUAUGAAUAAGGAUCGGCUAACUCCGUGCCAGCAGCCGCGGUAAUACGGAGGAUCCGAGCGUUAUCCGGAUUUAUUGGGUUUAAAGGGAGCGUAGGUGGAUUGUUAAGUCAGUUGUGAAAGUUUGCGGCUCAACCGUAAAAUUGCAGUUGAAACUGGCAGUCUUGAGUACAGUAGAGGUGGGCGGAAUUCGUGGUGUAGCGGUGAAAUGCUUAGAUAUCACGAAGAACUCCGAUUGCGAAGGCAGUUCACUGGACUGCAACUGACACUGAGGCUCGAAAGUGUGGGGAGCAAACAGGAUUAGAUACCCGAGUAGUC